GGCCUCGUGGCGCAAUGGAUAACGCGUCGGUCUACGAACCGAAGAUUGCAGGUUCGAAUCCUGCCGAGGUCG
rnacentral:tRNA from 1 species